CAGUAGCCGCGGUAAUACGGAGGGGGCUAGCGUUGUUCGGAAUUACUGGGCGUAAAGCGCACGUAGGCGGCUUGGCAAGUUAGAGGUGAAAGCCCGGAGCUCAACUCCGGAAUUGCCUUUAAGACUGCCGAGCUAGUAGGUGAGGGAGGUAAGUGGAAUUCCGAGUGUAGAGGUGAAAUUCGUAGAUAUUCGGAAGAACACCAGUGGCGAAGGCGGCUUACUGGCUCAUUCUAGACGCUGAGGUGCGAAAGCGUGGGGAGCAAACAGGAUUAGAUACCCCAGUAGUCCCUGUCUCUUAUAC
rnacentral:rRNA from 1 species